rnacentral:rRNA from 1 species
UACGAAGGGGGCUAGCGUUGCUCGGAAUCACUGGGCGUAAAGGGUGCGUAGGCGGGUCUUUAAGUCAGGGGUGAAAUCCUGGAGCUCAACUCCAGAACUGCCUUUGAUACUGAAGAUCUUGAGUUCGGGAGAGGUGAGUGGAACUGCGAGUGUAGAGGUGAAAUUCGUAGAUAUUCGCAAGAACACCAGUGGCGAAGGCGGCUCACUGGCCCGGUACUGACGCUGAGGUGCGAAAGCGUGGAGAGCAAACAGG